rnacentral:tRNA from 1 species
UUUUGGGUAUUUUCUAUGGUGAAAGUUCGCCUGCGACGCAGGAGGACGCGGGUUCGAUUCCCGCCUCGGAAA